rnacentral:rRNA from 1 species
GACGAACGCUGGCGGCGUGCUUAACACAUGCAAGUCGAACGGAAAGGCCCUGCUUUUGUGGGGUGCUCGAGUGGCGAACGGGUGAGUAACACGUGAGUAACCUGCCCUUGACUUUGGGAUAACUUCAGGAAACUGGGGCUAAUACCGGAUAGGAGCUCCUGCUGCAUGGUGGGGGUUGGAAAGUUUCGGCGGUUGGGGAUGGACUCGCGGCUUAUCAGCUUGUUGGUGGGGUAGUGGCUUACCAAGGCUUUGACGGGUAGUCGGCCUGAGAGGGUGACCGGCCACAUUGGGACUGAGAUACAGCCCAGACUCCUACGGGAGGCAGCAGUGGGGAAUAUUGCACAAUGGGCGGAAGCCUGAUGCAGCAACGCCGCGUGCGGGAUGACGGCCUUCGGGUUGUAAACCGCUUUCGCCUGUGACGAAGCGUGAGUGACGGUAAUGGGUAAAGAAGCACCGGCUAACUACGUG